CGGGAGCAAUCCUGGUGGCGAGUGGCGAACGGGUGAGUAAUACAUCGGAACGUGCCCAGUUGUGGGGGAUAGCCCGGCGAAAGCCGGAUUAAUACCGCAUACGACCUACGGGUGAAAGCGGGGGAUCGCAAGACCUCGCGCAAUUGGAGCGGCCGAUGGCAGAUUAGCUUGUUGGUGGGGUAAAAGCCUACCAAGGCGACGAUCUGUAGCUGGUCUGAGAGGACGACCAGCCACACUGGGACUGAGACACGGCCCAGACUCCUACGGGAGGCAGCAGUGGGGAAUUUUGGACAAUGGGCGCAAGCCUGAUCCAGCCAUGCCGCGUGUGGGAAGAAGGCCUUCGGGUUGUAAACCACUUUUGUCAGGGAAGAAACGGUCUGAUCUAAUAAAUCGGACUAAUGACGGUACCUGAAGAAUAAGCACCGGCUAACUACGUGCCAGCAGCCGCGGUAAUACGUAGGGUGCAAGCGUUAAUCGGAAUUACUGGGCGUAAAGCGUGCGCAGGCGGCUAUGCAAGACAGAUGUGAAAUCCCCGGGCUCAACCUGGGAACUGCAUUUGUGACUGCAUGGCUAGAGUACGGCAGAGGGGGAUGGAAUUCCGCGUGUAGCAGUGAAAUGCGUAGAUAUGCGGAGGAACACCGAUGGCGAAGGCAAUCCCCUGGGCCUGUA
rnacentral:rRNA from 1 species